rnacentral:rRNA from 1 species
AUUGAACGCUGGCGGCAGGCCUAACACAUGCAAGUCGAGCGGAUGAAGGGAGCUUGCUCCUGGAUUCAGCGGCGGACGGGUGAGUAAUGCCUAGGAAUCUGCCUGGUAGUGGGGGAUAACGUCCGGAAACGGGCGCUAAUACCGCAUACGUCCUGAGGGAGAAAGUGGGGGAUCUUCGGACCUCACGCUAUCAGAUGAGCCUAGGUCGGAUUAGCUAGUUGGUGGGGUAAAGGCCUACCAAGGCGACGAUCAGUAACGGGUCUGAGAGGAUGAUCAGUCACACUGGAACUGAGACACGGUCCAGACUCCGACGGGAGGCAGCAGUGGGGAAUAUUGAGGAAGGGGCGAAAGCCUGACCGAGCCAUGCCGGGUGAGUGAGGAAGGUCUUCGGAUCGUAAACUUUUUUAAGUUGGGAGGAAGGAAUGUAAAUUAAUCCCUGGCUGUUUUGACGGUCCCAAAGAAGAAAGCCCCGGCUACCUUCGUG